rnacentral:rRNA from 1 species
UACAGAGGGGGCAAGCGUUGUUCGGAAUUACUGGGCGUAAAGGGCGCGUAGGCGGCCUUCUAAGUCGAACGUGAAAUCCCCGGGCUCAACCCGGGAACUGCGUCCGAUACUGGAAGGCUUGAAUCCGGGAGAGGGAUGCGGAAUUCCAGGUGUAGCGGUGAAAUGCGUAGAUAUCUGGAGGAACACCGGUGGCGAAGGCGGCAUCCUGGACCAACACUGACGCUGAGGAGCGAAAGCUAGGGGAGCAAACAGG